rnacentral:lncRNA from 1 species
GCCCCGGCGCCUCCGGCUCUGGGCGGCGGCGGCGGCAGUGGCCGCGGCGGAAGGUCCGGUGCGCGCGUCCCUAACUCCCAGUUCUUGAGCCGUCGCCGCAGGCUGACACUCAGUCGAGCGCUCGCGGCUGCUUCGACUCCGCCGUCGCCGACGCCACUGCCGAGGCUGAGGCGGGAGCCGCCCGCCACCACCGCCGCCGCCACUCCCCUCCCCCCCCCACCCCGGCACCCGCCCACUUCGAACUCCUGGGAACUCGGAACGCACCACCCCGCCCCGCGCGGGAGGGGGAGAGGAAGCUGGACCCUCAGAGCAGGAGCAGGGAUUCGCCCGCCCAACCCGCGCAACUCGCGCUCCCGUCUGAUCCCAAAGUGCGAGCCGCGACUCCUCCCACCCCGCCCUCCUACACUCGCUCCUCCCCUUUAAAAAAAAAAAAAAAACCCAAAUCUCUUUUCUCCUCUAUGAUAACGGGGUUUCUCCCAAAGCAAGGCUUUAAAGAGGACAGGAAAAUCUGGAAUAGUUUGGUGAAAGGGUCAACGGAGCCAGGCAAGGAGAGGAGCCCCAGGACUUUUCUCGCUCUCGUUUCUCUGGCCGCCCGGCUGUCCGCUGUCCUCGCCGGGCGACUGGCAACAGGAGGCCGUGAAUUUCCCUGAUCGGAGCGCCUGUAGUGCGGUGCUGUUUUUCUUUGGUUUUGUUUCAUUUGCAUGUUCGCACAUGUGAUUUUAUUUUCGUUGCCUGUUUUCCUAUGAACUGAUCGCCGGACAGUGAUCUCGGGAAAUAUUAAAUAUUUGCCCGUAAAAGGAGCGUCUGUGAUCCUCCGCGACCCUCCUUCAUCCCGGUGGUUGCGCACCCUGCCCUCUUCAUUUGCCCGCCACUCACUGCCCUGUUGGCUUAACCUUGGAGCCACGGCCACUGGCGGUUCUGCGGGGAUGGUGGACAGUUUCCCCUAUCCCGAGGGGGGCUGGAGGCGGAGGACACACAUCCUCAAUCCUGACACCAUUAAUUUUAUGUUGGUCCUGCCAUCGCC